GACGGACGCUGGCGGCGUGCUUAACACAUGCAAGUCGAACGAUGAAGAAAAGAAUCGAAGCUUCGGCAGAAAUUCAUUUCGGAUUAGUGGCAGACGGGUGAGUAACGCGUGAGCAACCUACCUCUUACAAAGGGAUAGCCUCGGGAAACCGGGAUUAAUACCAUAUAACAUUGCGACGAAGCAUUUCGAUGCAAUCAAAGCUACGGCGGUAAGAGAUGGGCUCGCGUCCCAUUAACCGGAUGGUGAGGUAACGGCUCACCAUAGUGACGAUGGGUAACCGGCCUGAGAGGGUGAACGGUCACACUGGAACUGAGACACGGUCCAGACUCCUACGGGAGGCAGCAGUGGGGAAUAUUGCACAAUGGAGGGAACUCUGAUGCAGCGACGCCGCGUGAGUGAUGAAGGAAUUCGUUUCGUAAAACUCUGUUCUAUGGGAAGAAAAGGACUGUACCAUAGGAGAAAGCUCCGGCUAAAUACGUG
rnacentral:rRNA from 1 species